CAUAGGCCUAACACAUGCAAGCCGAGCGGUAGCACAGAGAGCUUGCUCUCGGGUGACGAGCGGCGGACGGGUGAGUAAUGUCUGGGAAACUGCCUGAUGGAGGGGGAUAACUACUGGAAACGGUAGCUAAUACCGCAUAAUGUCGCAAGACCAAAGUGGGGGACCUUCGGGCCUCAUGCCAUCAGAUGUGCCCAGAUGGGAUUAGCUAGUAGGUGGGGUAACGGCUCACCUAGGCGACGAUCCCUAGCUGGUCUGAGAGGAUGACCAGCCACACUGGAACUGAGACACGGUCCAGACUCCUACGGGAGGCAGCAGUGGGGAAUAUUGCACAAUGGGCGCAAGCCUGAUGCAGCCAUGCCGCGUGUGUGAAGAAGGCCUUCGGGUUGUAAAGCACUUUCAGCGGGAGGAAGGCGUUGAGGUUAAUAACCUCAUCGAUUGACGUUACCCGCAGAAGAAGCACCGGCUAACUCCGUGCCAGCAGCCGCA
rnacentral:rRNA from 1 species